GGUGGUCCCAGGCCCUGGACUGCAGGUGAAACCUGCAGGAAGCCCUGUCUGUUCUGUGUGGGACCCCCACUUCCAUCAUGGCCCCCACCACAGACACAGUGAGUCCACUCCAGUCCCUGUCCCAGCCUCUGGAGGGAUGCUGGCUCUGACCCCAUCUGGCCCCCUGCCUUUCCCUCGAGAUGUCCAUGGGCCCCCAACUCUUUGACGAGGUCUCAGACACCCCAAGGAGGCCGGGGAAAGGAUUCCCGGCGCAGCUGAGCUUGAGGCUGGGGGCUUUUCUGUUGUUUCUGCAGCCCCAGGGCCUGGCACCGUAGGACCUCUGCAGGCUGGUGGGGGUGAAUGAAUGAUUGAUUGAUGAAUGAAUGAAUGAAUGAAUGUCAGUUCAGCUGCCAUUUCACCGCCUGGAAUUUGGGACUCGGACUGGCUUCCUGGCUCCUCAGCUUGCAGACGGCCUAUUGUGGGACUUCACCUGGUGAUCAUAGAAACAGUGGACCCACUGAGACCAAGGGCAAGGGGAGGAAAGGCCCGGGGUAGGGCUGAAGACACAGGUUCCAGGCCCAGCUCUGCUGCUCACCGAUGAGGCUUCUCCUCUGUUGAGCAGGUAGCCCCAGUUGGGAGCUGAGGUGUGUUGAUUGGGGCUCUGGGAACCAUAGCCUGCCAGCUGUGGCUUGGCCAUCCCCUCUGCCAGCGCUUUCCCGCCCAUCAGCCCUUUUCUCUGGAGUCCCUCCUUCAGCCAGGUCCUGAAAAGUCAUACCUUUUGGCCAAGCUGCUGAAAAUACUACUCAGCCAGAACUCAUGUGCUCAUGCCAGCCUCAUUCAUGACACCCUCCAAACCAGAAACAGCCCAGGAGCCGAUCAACAGCUUCAUGGGAAAAUGUAUUGCAGUCUAUCUCAUCGCCGGGCCCUUCCGUGGCCGUGGAGACGGGCGAAUCAUGGUCUAUCCCGUCGCCGGGCCCUUCCGCGGCAGUGGAGACAGGCGAAUUGCAGUUAUGCGCAGCAAGGAAGCCUCUCUCAAUCACAUUGAGCAGAAGUGGCCAGGCUCAAUUCUGUGGAAUUCUGUGUGGAUCACAAACAGGCAACAUAGAGGAUGGUGUUUUGGGGUGCAUGUUGAGGGAGAGACGGGGUUCUCUUCAUCACAAUGGUGGCUGGCCUCCAGGAAGGGAGGGACAGUGGCUGGGAGGCCAGGGGCCUCUGGGAUGCUGAAAAAUUCUUUUUCUUCUCCUU